rnacentral:rRNA from 1 species
AACCUGGUUGAUCCUGCCAGUAGUCAUACGCUAACAUUAAAGAUUAAGCCAUGCAUGUACGAGUAUACAAUUACCAUUUUAAACUGCGUAAAGCUCAUUAUAUCAGUUCUAACAUCUUAGGAAUACAAAAAAGAUGGAUAUUAGUGCUAAUUCUACAAUCAAUACAUUUAUAACGUCUAAUUUUUUAGACUAAAUUACUGAGUAUCAAAAGUACGACUAUCUGAAUUCUUAAUAUUUACUGGUUACACUACAGAGUGAUAGUUCUAUUUAGUGACUGACCCAUCAGUUGUUCUAUUAUGUAGUGAAUUAUUGAGGCUGAAACGGGUAGCGGAGAAUUAGGGUUCCGUUCCGGAGAAAGAGCCUGCGAAACGGCUACUACAUCUAAGGAAGGCAGCAGGCGNGUAAAUUAUUCAAUUCUAAAUCAGAGAGUUAGUAACAAUAUAUUACGAUGUUAAACCUUAGGGUUAAAUUAUUAUAUUGAGGAUAGAUUAUUUAUUUAUACGAUUGACUAUAGGAGGGCAAGUCUGGUGCCAGCAGCCGCGGUAAUACCAGCUCCAAUAGUGUAUGCUAACGUUGUUGCAGUUACAAAGCUCGUAGUUGGUCUAUUAUGARUUUUAUUUAUAUAUAGUAUAAUUGUACUAUUAUUGACAAUGCCUAAAUCUUACUUAGAACAUGUACUAUGUUGAAAYUUACUUUUCGACAUUUCCUCAUGUUUGUUAUUACUUUGAAAAAAUUAUGUUGAUUUAAGAGAAGAAAUGAUAUUGUACUAUAGUACAGAAUAAUACUUGAAGAUCUCAGUAAAACUUAAACUUUUGGAUACUGGUGUARUGCUCUUUAGAGUUAGCUGAAGAUAUUAAUAUUUUAGCGWUAGAGGUGAAAUUCAAGAAUCGUUAUAAGAUUAACAAGUGCCAAAGCAAUUAUCUAAGAUUAAUUCAUUGAUCAAGAACGUAAGUUGAAGGAUUGAAGACGAUCAGAUACCGUCGUAAUCUCAAUUGUAAACUAUAUCAACUAGGGAUUAACAACUGUUUUUUAUGACAUUGUUGGCACCUUGUGAGAAAUUAGAGUUCUCAGAUUCCGGGGGGAGUAUGGUUGCAAGUCUGAAACUUAAAGGAAUUGACGGAAGGGCACCACAAGUUGUGGAUACUGUGGCUUAAUUUGACUCAACACUGGAAAACUUACCAGGUCCAGACAUAUUUAGGAUUGACAGAUUAAUAGCCCUGUCCUGAUUUUGUGGCUGGUGGUGCAUGGCCGUUCUUAGUUGGUGAAGUGAUUUGUCUGGUUUAUUCCGUUAACGAACGAGACUAUUACCAAUAAAUAGUAAGYACUGCAUUAGCAGUGUGAUUACUUCUUAGAGGGACUGGUGAUACAUAAGUUACUGGAGGCAAGUUGCAAUGACAGGUCUGUGAUGCCCUUAGAUGUACUGGGCCGCGCACGGGAUACAACAGGGGAGAUAAUAUGUACAUUUAAACAUAAUUUGACAAUAAUAUUGUAACCGYGAAUCUGUCUUUAAUAUGGAAUUGCACUAUGCAAUUUUACACAUAAACUAGGAAUAUCUUGUAAGUACAUGUCAUAAUCGUGUUCUGAAUGCGUCCCUGUCCUUUGUACACACCGCCCGUCGCUCCUACCGAUUGGAUGAGAUGGUGAGUAAAUCUUAAUGAUUGAAGUUAUACUGUAAAGUUGAAKGUCAGUUAUAUAUAUUUGCAAACUAAACUAUUUAGAGGAAGGAGAAGUCGUAACAAGGUUUCCGUAGGUGAACCUGCAGAAGGAUCA